rnacentral:lncRNA from 1 species
AGUUAAUUAGGUAUUAAUAGACAAUGCCUUAUGUUAUACUUUGUCUAUUUCAAAUUAUGUUGAUAUAAAUUUAUGAGUAAUAAGUAGUGACUGUUUUGCAAUUAUUUUAUUUUGCGAGGAUGAAGGGAUGAAUGCUUAUUGACUAUCAGGUUCAACUUCAAGCUCAAGUUAAUUAGGUAUUAUUAGUUAAUAUCUUAUGUUGUACUUUGUUUAUUUCAAAUUAUGCUUAUUUGAAUUUUUUAGUAAUGAGUGAGUAGUGAUUGUUUUAAAUUUUUUUUGUUGCGAUGAUAUGGUAUGACGCUAAAUACUCCCAAAUACAUAUCUCCACACUUUUUAAUAUUGAGGUACGUAACAAUUGUUUUAAAUCUUAUGCAUUUAUCAUGGGCGUUAUUACCUUGAGUUUGAAGUUCCCCGGGUUUAACGUCAGCUCAAGUUAUUAGGUAUUAUCGACAAUGCCUUAUUGUUUAUACUAUAACUUUGUUCUAUUUUUUAAGCUCAAGUUAAGUAGGUAUUCAUGCUCAUGUUAUACUUAUUAGACAAAUUAUAAUUUUUAAAAAAUCAAGGGAUCAAAAUAUAAAUUUUUAAAGUUUAUGAGACAACACUUCAAUGCUGGCAUAAAUAUCCGGAUAGAAUAUAAACCUUGGAAGGACUAAAUUAAAAAAAUUAAGAAAUGUGCGGUACGAAUGUGUAAUUAUUAAAAAAAUAAAUAUUGGGAGGACUAAAUUUAAAAAAAUUAGGAAGAAUAGGGACCAAAGUUUAAUCUGAGAAACUUUAGGGGCAAAGUAUAAGUAUCAAAAAGUUCAGGGACCAAACUGUAAUUUUUGAAAAUUUCUGGAAUAAAACUGAAAUCGUCGCGUAUAUAUAUGGAAAGAAAGAAAACAUUGGGAGAACAUAAUUGAAAAAAUUCAUAAAAGCCGGGGACCAACAUGUAAUUUCCAAAAAUUUAAACAUUCGUUGACUAAAUUAAAAAAAUUCUGGAAGACCAGGGACCAAGGAAUAAUUUUAAAAAAUUUAUCGGGCAAAUUUUAAAUAUCAAAAAGUUCAGGGACUAAACAUUAAUUGUUAAAAACUUAUGUGACAAAACUUCAAUCAUCGCAUAUAUAUCCGAAUAGAAAGAAAAUAUUGGGGGGCCAAAAUUAAAAAGUUCAGAAAGGAUAGGGACCCAAGUGUAGUUUUAAAACUUUAGGUGAUAUUUAUAGUUUGUCCGAUAAAGUUCUUAAAAUUAUACUUUGGUCCAUGGCAUUUCUGAAUUUUUUAAAUUUAAUUCCCUAAAAUUUUAAGUUUUUAAAAAUUACAGUUUUAUUCCUGAAAUUUUUGAUAUUUAUAAUUUGGCCUUAAAGUUUUUAAAACUGCAGUUGGUCCCUAGCUUUUCUGACUUUUUAAUUUUGGCCCGCUAAGGUUUUCUUUCGAUUCGGAUAUAUAUGCGAG